ensembl:lncRNA
ACACGCCCCGUGCACACAGCCUAUGUACACACCCUGGCGGCCCGGACCACGCUCAAGAGGGCUUUCAGGGCGGGUUUGAGAAAGUGCUGGGAUCGGCUGGAUAUGAAGAAUAAAAAGGAGGCCCCUGCACCAGAGCGUGCGCGGGGGGAGACGUUCCGGUGCGACGGGGGGUGCCGCAGCAGCACGGGGAGGACAGAAGGUCACAGGAGAAGGCUGGCACCAGCCCCACGCAUACCGAGAGCUGUCAGCAUCUCGCUGUUCCCGGUGUUCUGCAUCUGGAGGUGGAAUUCCCACCACAAGGCGUUCUUCUCCCGCCGAGAGGGACCAAACCGUGUCCCCCGAGUCAUCCUGAGGAUAACCACAGCCACGGGACAAGGUGUUCCCCUAUGGCUAAGCUACCUGAUGAAAGGAGGGAUAGGUUGCAUCAAGACCCAGUGCCGUGACCAGCCGUGGAACAGGGACAAUUGGGCAGCUGUGCUGUGCUGCCUGAAAAGGAUUUGUCAGCUUGUGAAGAAAAUGCCAUCAGUCUUUGCGCCAGGUUACACCUAUUGGGGCUCUGACACUGCCUGGAGCUCCCUGUGCAUCAAGUGCAGGUUUUCUUUGCAACUCUGGGCUCAAGCACAUUAG